rnacentral:rRNA from 1 species
GUACGGGAGGCAGCAGUGGGGAAUGUUGGUCAAUGGGCGCAAGCCUGAACCAGCCAUCCCGCGUGAAGGAUGAAUGUACUAUGUAUUGUAAACUUCUUUUCUGUGCCAAGAACGGCCCCUACGUGUAGGGGUGUGACGGUAGUACAGGAAUAAGCAUCGGCUAACUCCGUGCCAACAGCCGCGGUAAUACGGAGGAUGCGAGCGUUAUCCGGAUUCAUUGGGUUUAAAGGGUGCGUAGGCGGUUUUUUAAGUCAGUGGUGAAAUCCUGCGGCUCAACCGUAGAACUGCCAUUGAUACUGAAGAACUUGAAUUUAGUUGAGGUAGGCGGAAUGAGUAGUGUAGCGGUGAAAUGCUUAGAUAUUACUCAGAACACCGAUUGCGAAGGCAGCUUACCAAGCUACGAUUGACGCUGAUGCACGAAAGCGUGGGGAUCGAACAGGAUUAGAUACCCCCGUAC